GACGAACGCUGGCGGCGUGCUUAACACAUGCAAGUCGAACGGAAAGGCCCUGCUUUUGUGGGGUGCUCGAGUGGCGAACGGGUGAGUAACACGUGAGUAACCUGCCCUUGACUUUGGGAUAACUUCAGGAAACUGGGGCUAAUACCGGAUAGGAGCUCCUGCUGCAUGGUGGUGGUUGGAAAGUUUCGGCGGUUGGGGAUGGACUCGCGGCUUAUCAGCUUGUUGGUGGGGUAGUGGCUGACCAAGGCUUUGACGGGUAGCCGGCCUGAGAGGGUGACCGGCCACAUUGGGACUGAGAUACGGCCCAGACUCCUACGGGAGGCAGCAGUGGGGAAUAUUGCACAAUGGGCGGAAGCCUGAUGCAGCAACGCCGCGUGCGGGAUGACGGCCUUCGGGUUGUAAACCGCUUUCGCCUGUGACGAAGCGUGAGUGACGGUAAUGGGUAAAGAAGCACCGGCUAACUACGUG
rnacentral:rRNA from 1 species